rnacentral:rRNA from 1 species
AUUGAACGCUGGCGGCAUGCCUUACACAUGCAAGUCGAACGGUAACGCGGGGCAACCUGGCGACGAGUGGCGAACGGGUGAGUAAUGUAUCGGAACGUGCCCAGUUGUGGGGGAUAAUUGCUCGAAAGAGCAGCCAAUACCGCAUACGACCUGAGGGUGAAAGCGGGGGAUCGCAAGACCUCGCGCAAUUGGAGCGGCCGAUAUCAGAUUGGGUAGUUGGUGGGGUAAAGGCCUACCAAGCCUACGAUCUGUAGCUGGUCUGAGAGGACGACCAGCCACAGUGGAAGUGGGACGCGGCCCAGACUCCUACGGGAGGCGGCGGUGGGGACCUUUGGACAAUGGGGGAAACCCUGAUCCAGCAAUGCCGCGGGCGGGAAGAAGGCCUUCGGGUUGUAAACCGCUUUUGUCAGGGAAGAAAUCCUUUGAACUAAUACUUCGGAGGGAUGACGGUACCUAAAGAAUAAGCACCGGCUAACUACGUGCCAGCAGCCGCGGUAA